ensembl:lncRNA
CGAAUCUGCGGAUGCAACAUCUGGAGCACGGGGAGUGGAGUCUGUAAAUAAAUCUAACCACCAAAAACCAGUUAACGUGGAACACCCUGCGUGAAAACGGGGCAGAAACGUGGGGCAGGUCUGUAAAUGUAAAUAUGAAUUGUAACACUUUUCCCAUUUCCAUAAUCUGCUGAUAUGAUAUGAUUGGGCUGUUAAACCUACAGGGGAACUACGAACAUUAUGGUGUUGUACUAUCGAGUUGUCUUGCAUGAAGACCACAGAUAAGCGCCAUAAAUCAAACUCAUGUCAGGUCUAAUGGGUCGAAGUGCGUUUAAGGUUCGCUUACAUUACCCUUUCUAAAAUCUGUUGCCGUGUUGCGAGCCUUUUGAAUUGUCGUGAAUUGAUUUACACUUCGGGUAAGCUGGGACAAGAAAUGGAAUUUCAACUUUUGCAUUGAAGUUGUUUGUUUUUCUUCUGUGGUUCUCGUUUACUUGACCUGCAUGAAACAACACAGUAUGAACGUUGACAUGUGCUUCAGUCAUCCGCAGUGACAUUAUUAAGUGCAGGUGGGUUCUCGUCACUGCUCUUCUUCUUUUUUUAUAUAUAUAUAGAGAGAGAGAUAUAUAUUUAGUUUUUGUUUGCAUUUGUCCUCCACCUCUACUCAUUCGCCCAACGAGGUCGUGACAGAGAAGACAAACGUACUUUGGCAACAAAACGUCCAACGGUAGGAGAACUGCGAAAAUACGUGACAGAAAACUUAUAUUAAAUUCCAUACCAGAACUAUUUGAUAUACAGAUCGCGUUUAUCAGUUUAUUAUCAAGAGUUAUUAAGUGCUCAUAUGAUUUUUAAAAUUAUUCUCGAGUGAAAGCGCCUUUCUGAAUAAUGGUACGUCCUAUAAAACCCCACUAGAGAGUGCUGUGGUACAAUUUUAAGGACAACCAUCACUAAGCUAUUCCAAUUCUUUAUGAAAGCUAUUCAUAAGUAAAUGGUUUUGUGUUUGUGAAUUAUGUAAAAAGCCAUGUACUAAUGUUCUGAAAGUCCUAAGCCAUUAAAUACAAAUAUACACAUCAGCCAACUUUAAUAAGUGCCUUCAAAUUUGCCUUCAAAUGGACCAAGCAGCCAAGAACGUCCAAGCACAGAUAUAAUCUUUAAAUUAUGUUUUUUUUUUAUUAUAUCCCAGAAAAGAUAAGAGGUUAUUUCAAAAAUACACAAUAAUAGAAAUAAGCUAUUUUAAGAACUAUGUAGGCCUAUAAAAGAGGUAAACUAAACAGACUUCUACUCAAAAAAUAUCAUAACUCAACAAACUGACCUAUUUAGUAACUGAAUAAACCUUCUUUUAGCAUCAGAUUUUGUUUUGGGGUAUUUCGGUGGGCCUAUGUGAAAUGUAGCUUCAGUUUCCUGUUCUUAACUUAUGUGGUCUGCUGCUGCUGUAGCUCAUCUGCUUCAAGUUUCAACCUGCUGUGCUCUUCUGCAUACCUUGGCUAUAAUGAGUGGCUAUUUGAAUUACUGUUGUCUUCCUAUCAACUCAAAGCAGUCUGUCCAUUCUUCUUUGACCUCUGACAUCAAGUAGACAUUUUCACCCAGAGAAACUCAAGACUUUCAGUCUGCCUUGAAGCAUUCCAAGGGUGUAUAGUAUACCCAGAACAUGGUUGAGACACAUCUCUCGGCUGGCCUGGGAACAACUCAGCGUUUCUCCGGAUAAGCUGAAGAAGGUGGCUGGGGAGGGGGAAGUUUGUGCUCUCUGCUUAGGCUACUGUCCCCACAACUUGACCCUGACUAAGCAGAAGAGGAUGGAUGGACGAACAGAUGGAAAAAUAUUCUCUGCAAACUCCAGAGAAACCCGAGAGAUUGUUGUGUGGAAAAAUCCCAGUAAAUCCCAGUGAGUCCCCGGAGUUUUUGAACUUCUCAGACCAGUCCUUCUGGCACCAAUAACCAAGCCGCAUUCAAAGUCACUUAAAUCACUUUUCUUCUUCAUUCUGAUGCCCAGUUUUAAUGUUGUGGCUCACUUCAUGAGCCACAACAUUAAUUAAAACCCUGUGAAAGAUGUAGUGAAAAAUGUCAUCAUCAUCAUCACAUCACGAUGCAGUUUUCUGGUGUCAAAAUUUUGGUCCUGUCAUUUAUGUGGAUUUUUCUUUGAAUGUCCACUCCACUCAUCAUGCACUCAAGCCUUUUUGCCUCUGAUGCUUAGUUUGAUCCUUUGUGCACAGAAGGAGGGUGAAUGAAGCAUCAAAUAACUCGUUUUUAUGUGCAUGUGAAAUGAGACUAAAGCAGAAAGCCUGGGUUAACAGAAAAAGACCUAAUAUUGUUAAUAAUUACGGCUUAAGUAAAACAUUAUUAAAUUAAGUAGUUACAACUAAAAGUCUUUACAAAAUGAGCUUUAAUAUGACACACUUCUGAAAACUGCAAUCGUAACUUUGUGCCAUCAUUUCUCUGAAAACAAUUUAUACUGUUUUCUAUUACUUAUGUUUUGUUACUUAUAAUUUAUAUUUUUUAUGUUUGCAGGUAGGAAAGAUAAAGCCAUAAAGAAUGUCUGAUAUAAAAUAUUACAUGUCACUGUCUGUGACUGUGGGUGUCAUGUUGGUGGGCCUGCUCUACUCCAUCUGUUUAGCCUGUCAGUGGAUUUAUGGUUGGCCUGACAAGCCUGGGUAUAAGAAGUACAUAGAAGCUCUUAAUCCAAGGCGAAUAUAUCGUCUGACCCUCACUACACUGGAUCUUCUCAAAUACCUGCAGUAUUGGAAAGUUUACUUUCAGCUGAAGUCAUGGUAUAACGAUGAGAGGAAUCUAAAGUAUUAUGAAAAGGGCAUCACGUUUGGCCGCAGAGGCAACAAGCUGGACUUAUACCACCCUCCAAAUGUAAGGAAGCUGCCAUCACCGGCGGUAGUAUUUGUCUACGGAGGUGCAUGGGGCACAGGAGAAAGGUCCACUUACUGUUUACUGGGGAGUCGGAUGGCUGAAGAACUGAAAGCAACUGUAAUUUGUCCUGAUUACUGCACAUAUCCAAAGGGGAAUGUUUUAGGGAUGGUCCAAGAUAUCACUGACUGCUUGAUUUGGGCCCACCAGAAUGGAGAGAAAUUCAACUUUGACAAAGAUAACAUUGUAUUAAUUGGGCAUUCAGCAGGUGCACAUUUGUGUACACUCACCACACUGUUUCUUGUUGAUACAAGAGAGGAGCUUUCCAUAGAGCCAGGCAAGCAGCAGGAAGUCUUGCUCUCGAUAAGAGGAAUUAUUGGUCUGAGCGGCGUCUACAACAUCGUGGACCAUUAUGAGCAUGAACAGAAACGAGGAGUUGAACGAGUGUCCCCCAUGCACAAAGCGAUGAAUGGUGUGGAAAACCUUCCAUACUACUCACCAACACACUUACUAAAGAAGCUCAGCCAGGACAAAGUCAACAGAUUGCCUCCAUUCGCUUUGCUCCAUGGGACCAAUGACAUUAUGGUUCCUGCUGAAUCUACCAUAAGAUUCUCUGAGCUUCUCACUUUGCGCUCUGUUAAGAUGUCAUUGAAUGUUCUUCAUGGAGUCGCCCACACUGAGACUGCUGUUGAUCUCAUGGUGUUAAACAGACGCCUCUACCGUCCAAUCUACAGAUACAUCAAAGAAGAGUUUAGAAAAUUUCUGGGUACCUGCUGACUGCAUGUGAUUAGAAAAGUAUUCACACAGCUCCAGUAUGUGCUGAAUUGUACUGUACUGUAAAUUAAAAUCAACCAUUUAAUUAUGAGUUUGACUUGAUUCUCUGAAGCUCUGAUUUUAUAAAACUAAUAUGAUAUUUUUAACAGUACUUUAAUUAUUUUGGAGAGAUGCUCUUUAUAGUGCUGUCAAAUAAGUAAUCACAAAGUGAAAUCAAUUAUAGAACAGUAGGGUUUAUUAGGAAGCUACACACAAUAUUCAAAUCCAGUUACAAAAU